GCGGCCAUGGUGGAACUGGUAGACACGCCAGCUUGAGGUGCUGGUGGCGAGAGCCUUGGAAGUUCAAGUCUUCUUGGCCGCA
rnacentral:tRNA from 1 species